rnacentral:rRNA from 1 species
UACGUAGGGCGCAAGCGUUGUCCGGAUUCACUGGGUGUAAAGGGUGCGUAGGCGGGAGAGUAAGUCCGCGGUGAAAUCUCACGGCUCAACCGUGAAACUGCCGUUGAUACUGCUUUUCUUGAGUUCGGGAGAGGUUGAUGGAAUUCCAGGUGUAGCGGUGAAAUGCGUAGAUAUCUGGAAGAACAUCAGUGGCGAAGGCGACCGCCUGGCCCAACACUGACGCUGAGGUGCGAAAGCGUGGGUAGCAAACAGG